CACGUAGGGUGCGAGCGUUGUCCGGAAUUAUUGGGCGUAAAGAGCUCGUAGGCGGUGUGUCGCGUCGGCCGUGAAACCUGCAGCUUAACUGUGGGCUUGCGGUCGAUACGGGCAUCACUGGAGUUCGGCAGGGGAGACUGGAAUUCCUGGUGUAGCGGUGAAAUGCGCAGAUAUCAGGAGGAACACCGGUGGCGAAGGCGGGUCUCUGGGCCGAUACUG
rnacentral:rRNA from 1 species